rfam:Glycine soja cultivar W05 scaffold2433_2, whole genome shotgun sequence.
AUGCUUAAUACAUCCGCAAGAAAUGUGUUUCCAAUGGAGGACAAGUGAGUAAUGUGUAAAAAUGUACUUUUGAGAAGGAAAUAACAACUAGAAAUGACUAUUUAUACCCUGUAGGUAAAGGGGCAAAAAGAGUAAUUCACCUGAGGAGUGGCUCACAUUCGAAUAACUAGUUAGUGAGAAUUAACUUACCACGGUGACAACUAGUAGUUGGUCCAAGAGGAUGAUUAGGUACAUUGGGAUUGAAACAAAAUUGAGACUCUUAUAAGAGGUAUCAGUGAAGAAUUUUUUGCAAUGGAUGAAUGCUUGACGAAGCAAU